rnacentral:misc_RNA from 1 species
UCCGGCUUAUCACCGGCAGUUUCCCUAGAGUUCUCAGCCUAACCUGUUAGCAACAAGGGAUGAGGGUUGCGCUCGUUGCGGGACUUAACCCAACAUCUCACGACACGAGCUGACGACAGCCAUGCAGCACCUGUGCUCCUCCCACCCGAGGUGAAGGAUCUCCUUUCAGAGACCCAUAGAGGGCGAGUCAAGGCCUGGUAAGGUUCUUCGCGUUGCCUCGAAUUAAACCACAUGUUCCACCGCUUGUGCGGGUCCCCGUCAAUUCCUUUGAGUUUUAAUCUUGCGACCGUACUCCCCAGGCGGGGUGCUUAACGCGUUAGCUGCGCCACCGAGACCGAAGGUCCCAACGGCUAGCACCCAUCGUUUACAGCGUGGACUAC